ensembl:lncRNA
AUGAUGAUGAUGAUGAUAAUAAUAAUAAUAAUAAUAAUAAUAAUAAUAAUAAUAAUAAUAAUAAUAACAACAACAGCGAUAAUUUAAAAACACUGUGAAUAAUCUAUUAGAUAUUAGUGUAUAUUAGAUUCAUUCUAAAUAAAGAUGUUCAUGAUGGACAUCACAUGAACAUCCAUAAUUAAAGAAAUUAAAGUCCCGAUUAUCCCUUUUCAUCAGCAGCCGUUUCUCUCGUGAUUCCUUUUCAAAAUUAAUUGCAGUAAGCGGCGUCAGACUCCGUGUGAGGUAUUAGUCAUAGCAAACAAAUAAUAAUGAAAUCGUGUGUGUGUGAGAGAGAGAUUACAAGAUGGAGAAGAAUGAAAUAAUAAUUAGUAUCCGUGCUGAUAAAGACGUGUGCUGCUCUAACUCCCAUCUGAAUGUGAUUAUACACAGUGAUUGGAGAUCCGCCCACGCGCUGGAAAUAUUUAAAUUCCCAGAAACACUGUCGCGUGCCAGGGAGAAGGCUCGAAGUACACACAACAGUACGGUGAGCCAAGAUUAGCAACACGACCACACACACACACACACACACACUAAUGUAUGGAAAGUCCAUGGAUAGCGUGUGGAAGUAGUGGGCGUGGUCAAUGCUGAUCUAGCACCCGCGGUGUGAAAGUCCAUUCGGGAAAUAAAAGCAUUAUCAUAGAAUAGUUUCUGAAAAGGUCGACGUGAGACCACGGUUCACGCUCGGGUUCCUCCGUACACACCUCUGGUGCCUGGAGAAAUACAUCGGGUGCUCUGGGCUAUCAAUAAAUAAAUAAAUAAAUACAUUUUGUGAUUGGACUUCUAAAUAAAUAAGGCUCGGGCAUCCUGCAUGAAUACAAAUAAACACAAUAAAUACAUUUCCAGCUCCAGAGAAAUAAAAUGUCUGCCUGGAUUUCCAGACGGUGAUUCGGCCCAGUGCCCGGGCCCCUAACGUGUCCCUCUUAACGUAAAAGCGAAUUUGAUGGUACGGACAUUUCCUGAACGAGGCUUCCUAAUCACAGACCUCGUUAACACACCUCUGCGUGACAGCACUGGAGACAUUCCGCCGCAGGGCGUCUAUACGUCCGCGAGGCGAGGCGAGGCGGGGGAACGUGGAGAACUGGAAGUCUAUAAACGGAGAAAAUCAUUUAGUGCUGUGCGGUGUGCCGAGACGGCCUCGCCGCCUCCGCCGCCGCGGAGACGAAAUAAAAAGAGGAACAUGAUGGUGUGUUAAUUACAACCCGAGUGCCAUCCGUCUUCCCCUCGCGUGGCGUGACAGUGAAAUUUCUCCGUCCUUCACACGUCGCAGGCUGCGUGUCGUGAUUCGCCGGCCCUCGGAGCGACGCUCGCUCCCUCCGCGUCGGCUGCGGCGCCGAUAGAGCCGCAAUCGAAGUCUCGCCACGGAGACGGAAAGAAAGAACACGGUCAUCUAUCAGCCUGCCGUGUGCGGGGACGACAGGACGUGCGCUGAGAGAGAGAGAGAGAGAGAGAGAAAGUUGCUGGACAGGAAAUUGGAGAGUUUAGGAAGGACUGCGCAGGAGCGAUGCGAUGGACUCGACACUCUCGCUCAAUCUCGUUUCCAUUCAGGACGCGGUAAUGGAUGGAGGCGUGUCUGUAAUCACACCAAGCAGCAGGAGGAACGUCGGAACGGUCGAUACGGGCGUCGCGUCACUCCUGCGCUAAACGCUGAACUCCACGAAGCAGUCGGAGCGGGAAUCAGGAAAAGCGCUCGGAUUACAUUCAUCCAGGAUAUCUAACGUGGACCGCUUCUCUUUAGAAUCUCGGAACGUCACCGACACGAAGCUGGCUCUGCGUCUAAAAAGAGGCCGAGAAGAGAACCGUCGUGUCAUGAUGGCUACAUCGGAGAGGAUCGUAGCUCAUUCGACUCCAAACUGAACCCGAAGGCUGAGCGAAUUAGCGUCUAUAUCUAUAAAAGCAGACACGGUGCGCGAACGGACGCCAAGGGUUUCCUCCCUUCCUGUUUAUUCUUUUUAUAUAAUUACAGAUUAUCGUCUCUCCGUGUUAAACA